rnacentral:rRNA from 1 species
GUUAGGAAUAUUGGACAAUGGGCGCAAGCCUGAUCCAGCCAUGCCGCGUGAGUGAUGAAGGCCUUCGGGUUGUAAAGCUCUUUAGUCCACGAAUAUAAUGACUGUAGUGGAAGAAUAAGCCCCGGCUAACUUCGUGCCAGUAGCCGCGGUAAUACGAAGGGGGCGAGCGUUAUUCGGAAUCACUGGGCGUAAAGCGUGCGUAGGCUGUUUUGUAAGUCAGAAGUGAAAGCCCAGGGCUUAACCCUGGAAUUGCUUUUGAAACUACAAGAGUCGAAUUCGGGAGAGGAUAGCGGAAUUGUCAGUGUAGCAGUGAAAUGCGUAGAUAUUGACAGGAACACCAGUGGCGCAAGCGGCUAUCUGGACGAGUAUUGACGCUGAGGCACGAAAGCGUGGGGAUCAAACAGGAUUAGAUACCCGGGUAGUCC